rnacentral:RNase_P_RNA from 1 species
AGUGGACCGGGUGGCCGCCCUUGAAAGCUUCAAUGUGAUUCGAGGGAGGAAAGUCCGGGCUCCGUUGGGCAGGGUGCUGGGUAACACCCAGGGUUCUAACGAUGAACGUUAGAAUACGGAUAGUGACACAGAAACAUACCGCCGCUUAACUGCGGUAAGGGUGAAAUCGUGAGGUAAGAGCUCACGGCUAAUAGUGGUGACACAUUAGUGGUUAAACCCCACCUGGAGCAAGGCCGAAUAGAGGGAUUAUAGUUGCCCAAACUAUCCCUGGGUUGGCUGCAUGACCCCGAUGGUAACAUCGUUCUUGGAUAACCAAGAAGUUCGUUUGAAUGACGAAUGGGCAAGAUAGAUGGUCACCAACUUGAUUGGUUACAAUCUAAUCAAGUUACAGAACCCGGCUUAUAGGUCCACUUG